rnacentral:rRNA from 1 species
GCAGUCGAGCGACUGAUUAGAAGCUUGCUUCUAUGACGUUAGCGGCGGACGGGUGAGUAACACGUGGGCAACCUGCCUGUAAGACUGGGAUAACUUCGGGAAACCGAAGCUAAUACCGGAUAGGAUCUUCUCCUUCAUGGGAGAUGAUUGAAAGAUGGUUUCGGCUAUCACUUACAGAUGGGCCCGCGGUGCAUUAGCUAGUUGGUGAGGUAACGGCUCACCAAGGCAACGAUGCAUAGCCGACCUGAGAGGGUGAUCGGCCACACUGGGACUGAGACGCGGCCCAGACUCCUACGGGAGGCAGCAGUAGGGAAUCUUCCGCAAUGGACGAAAGUCUGACGGAGCAACGCCGCGUGAGUGAUGAAGGCUUUCGGGUCGUAAAACUCUGUUGUUAGGGAAGAACAAGUACGAGAGUAACUGCUCGUACCUUGACGGUACCUAACCAGAAAGCCACGGCUAACUACGUGCCAGCAGCCGCGGUAAUACGUAGGUGGCAAGCGUUAUCCGGAAUUAUUGGGCGUAAAGCGCGCGCAGGCGGUUUCUUAAGUCUGAUGUGAAAGCCCACGGCUCAACCGUGGAGGGUCAUUGGAAACUGGGGAACUUGAGUGCAGAAGAGAAAAGCGGAAUUCCACGUGUAGCGGUGAAAUGCGUAGAGAUGUGGAGGAACACCAGUGGCGAAGGCGGCUUUUUGGUCUGUAAACUGACGCUGAGGCGCGAAAGCGUGGGGAGCAAACAGGAUUAGAUACCCUGGUAGUCCACGCCGUAAACGAUGAGUGCUAAGUGUUAGAGGGUUUCCGCCCUUUAGUGCUGCAGCUAACGCAUUAAGCACUCCGCCUGGGGGAGUACGGUCGCAAGACUGAAACUCAAAAGGAAUUGACGGGGGCCCGCACAAACCGGUGGGAGCAUGUGGUUUAAAUU